GGGAACUUGCAUGAUCAAGCCUGCGUAGAAAAAAUUGAUGACGAUGUUGGUGCUUCUGAUUCUCCAUCUACACCUAUCGAUUUAAGUGACAGUGCUAUGGUUAGAACACAAGUUGGUGCUUCUGAUUUUCCAUCUACACCUGUUGAUUUAAAUGAUAGUGAUAUGGUUAGAACACAAGGUGCUGAUCGUGGAUUAGAUAUUCAAAUCUCCAGUAAGGAGGUUACAUCUGUCCAAUCCGAUGUGGAGAAGAAGCUUCCUGAACCUACCACAAAAUCGAUCGAGCCUACUAAGUGUGACGGGAACUUGCAUGAUCAAGCCUGCGUAGAAAAAACUGAUGACGGUGUUGGUGCUUUUGAUUCUCCAUCUACACCUGUCGAUUUUAGUGAUAGUGCUAUGGUUAGAACACAAGGUGCUGAUUGUGGAUUAGAUAUUCAAAUCUCCGGUAAGGAGGCUACACCUGUCCAAUCCAAUGUGGAGAAGAAGCUGCCUGAAUCAACCAAAAAAUCGAUCGAGCCUACUAUGUGUGACGGGAACUUGCAUGAUCAAGCCUGCGUGGAAAAAACUGAUGACGGUGUUGGUGCUUCUGAUUCUCCAUCUACACCUGUCGAUUUAAGUGAUAGUGCUAUGGUUAGAACACAAGGUGCUGAUUGUGGAUUAGAUAUUCAAAUCUCCGGUAGGGAGGCUACGUCUGUCCAAUCCAAUGUGGAGAAGAAGCUGCCUGAAUCAACCACAAAAUCGAUACCC
rnacentral:lncRNA from 1 species